UAUCUGAAGUUUUUGAUUUACAAGGAAUGAACUAAAUCAGUCUCUCAGGUAUUUCUUUAAAGCUUUUUCUCUUGUGGGAGAAACUCAAGAGCGAGAAAGAGUACUAAUACAUUUCUCCAAUAGGUACUUCUAUUGCAAUCCAGAUACCAUUGCUUCACAAGAUGGAGUGCACUGCCUUACCUGCGCCAUGAUGCUGCUUAACACCGAUCUCCAUGGCCACGUAAGUGCAAGGCUUGUGAUGCUGACCUGCAGAGAUCUACAUUUUCACCAGUGCUUGUCCUUGCUUCUGUGUCUGUAAACAGUUGUUCUCUGCCUUCCUUUUGUUUGUUUUCCUUGUGGUUCCCAUGGCAGGAAGAUAAGUAUAAAUCUUCAAAAAAAAUAAAGGCUUUUUAUUUUACAUGCUAGCACAGAGCAUAACUUAAAGUACAUAGCACAUCGUCUAGGGGCCUGGAGUGGUUUGCGCAGUAAUGUGUGUGUUCUGCGUCUUAUCUCUCCACCAGGUGGCAGUCAGAGGUCAUACUUGUUUUUGUUUUUUGUUUUGUUUUGUGUUUUGAUGAGUUGUUGAUACAGUGUUGGAAAGAGAAUGUAAGUUAGAUCUGAAAACAUCAUACGCAUAUCUUAGACUUAGCAGUAAGUCUAAGAAUUCAGCCUUUUUUUCAUUCCUCAGCUCACUUAGUUUUUUUAACUAGCUAAAAUAUAUAAAUAAAAAAUAUGAAAAUAACU